rnacentral:rRNA from 1 species
GACGUAGGGCGCGAGCGUUGUCCGGAUUGAUUGGGCGUAAAGAGCUCGUAGGCGGCUCGUUGCGUCGGCUGUGAAAACCCGCAGCUCAACUGUGGGCCUGCAGCUGAUACGGGCGGGCUGGAGUUCGGUAGGGGAGACUGGAAUUCCUGGUGUAGCGGUGAAAUGCGCAGAUAUCAGGAGGAACACCGGUGGCGAAGGCGGAUCUCUGGGCCUUACCUGACGCUCAGGCGCGAAAGCUAGGGGAGCGAACAGG